rnacentral:misc_RNA from 1 species
AUCCUGCUUCAAGGGAUUGCCAAGACCCAGGUCAGAGGGUCAGAUAAACAUUUAACGGAAGAAACAAUCGAGAAUGCAUUGAAAGCCGCUCGCGCGAUACGCGACGGCCGCCGGCCUUUUUUGUUGCUUACUGCGGCCACUCAAUUGAGUAAUUUGAAGUCGGCGUCGGCUCAUAUCGCUUUGACUGAGGCGAUCAAGGAUUUCAAUUCAUUCGAAGAGUCGACCCUUUCCGGUUUAGAUUGGGCGCAGCUAAUUCGGAUUGGACCGCUGAGGGCCAGAUUUCCUCUGGAUGUUGCCAAAGUUGAUUUCGGUUUUAAUGAGGCAUUUCGCGCAGUUGCUUCUGCUGAUCCCGAAGGAGC